CCUACGGGAGGCAGCAGUGAGGAAUAUUGGUCAAUGGACGAGAGUCUGAACCAGCCAAGUAGCGUGAAGGAUGACUGCCCUAUGGGUUGUAAACUUCUUUUAUAUGGGAAUAAAAUGUUCCACGUGUGGGAUUUUGUAUGUACCAUAUGAAUAAGGAUCGGCUAACUCCGUGCCAGCAGCCGCGGUAAUACGGAGGAUCCGAGCGUUAUCCGGAUUUAUUGGGUUUAAAGGGAGCGUAGGUGGAUUGUUAAGUCAGUUGUGAAAGUUUGCGGCUCAACCGUAAAAUUCAGUUGAAACUGGCAGUCUUGAGUACAGUAGAGGUGGGCGGAAUUCGUGGUGUAGCGGUGAAAUGCUUAGAUAGCACGAAGAACUCCGAGUGCGAAGGCAGUUCACUGGACUGCAACUGACACUGAGGCUCGAAAGUGUGGGUAUCAAACAGGAUUAGAUACCCGAGUAGUC
rnacentral:rRNA from 1 species